rnacentral:rRNA from 1 species
AUUGAACGCUGGCGGCAUGCUUUACACAUGCAAGUCGAACGGUAACAGGCCGCAAGGUGCUGACGAGUGGCGAACGGGUGAGUAAUGCAUCGGAACGUGCCCAGUCGUGGGGGAUAACGCAGCGAAAGCUGCGCUAAUACCGCAUACGAUCUAUGGAUGAAAGCGGGGGACCGAAAGGCCUCGCGCGAUUGGAGCGGCCGAUGUCAGAUUAGGUAGUUGGUGGGGUAAAGGCCCACCAAGCCAACGAUCUGUAGCUGGUCUGAGAGGACGACCAGCCACACUGGGAAUGAGCCACGGCCCAGACUCCUACGGGAGGCAGCAGUGGGGAAUUUUGGACAAUGGGCGCAAGCCUGAUCCAGCAAUGCCGCGUGCAGGAAGAAGGCCUUCGGGUUGUAAACUGCUUUUGUCAGGGAAGAAACGCUCUGGGUUAAUACCUCGGGGUAAUGACGGUACCUGAAGAAUAAGCACCGGCUAACUACGUGCCAGCCGCCGCGGUAAUAC